UUACAAUUUAAAAUAUCAAUCAAGUUUACAUGCUAUAGAACUCUUCAUAGUGUAUUUUAAAUUGUUUCCCAAUUCUUUUGUUCCCCAUAUUUGAGCACCUUGCUCAGUAGUAAUAAUUGAAAUUGCUAAUUGCAACUUUUUUGCUUUCAUAUAUUAUUUUUCAUACAUAAGCUGCUUAUUUUUUCAGGUUGUACAGGGGCCGGGCUGUGGCGUAGGCUGUUGAGUAGCUGCAAUAAAUCACUCUGACCAUGAGGUCAUGAGUUCAAGGCCAGCCCAUGGCAGGGUGAGCACCCGUCAAUUAAAAAAAUUUAAAAUAGCCCCUGCUCGUUGCUGACUUAGGAACCUGAAAGAUAGUUGCAUCUAUCAAGUAGGAAAUAAGGUGCCACUUAUAAAAGUAGGGAGGCAAGUUUAACUAAUUUACGACCUGGAAUGAGGAAGUGCCGUCAGAGUGGAUGAUGAAGCAGCUGCUCCCCCCUGUGGCCAGAAUCGAACAUCCCCUUGGGAGAAGGUUAAAUUGCCUCUGCGUCUGUCUGUCUCGGUCUCUGUUUGAUGUGUUUAUGGGCAUUGAAUGUUUGCCCUAUGUGUGUAUAAUGUGUCUUCAGAUUCAGGCCAAAAUGAAGAUAUACUUGGGGAUAGCUUGAAUGCACAGUCUGUCCUCUGUAUCCAUAGGCACUGUAUCCAUGGUUUUUGCAUCCCUGGAUUCAAACAACUAUGGCUCAAAAAUACCCACUCCCCCAAUAAAAAAAUCCAAAAAGCAAACUUUGAUUUUGCCAUUUUAUAUAAAGGGUGGCAGUCAGAGCCGGUCCAACAAUGAGGCGAAUUAAGCGGUCACUUGGGGCGCAAAACAUAUGGGGGCGCAGUCGAGACUGCUUUUUCUGUUGAUUUCUUGUAAAACAUGAUUUUUGGUGCUUAAUUUGUAAAAUCUUAAUGUAAUUUGAUGUUUAAUAGGCUUUUCCUUAAUCCCUCCUUAUUAUCCAACAUUUUCACUUAUCCAACGCUUUUAUUUUUCAUUGAUUGGUUUGGGGGGGGGGGGCACCAACAUUCUGUUUGCCUACACUUGAAAAUUACCUAGGGCUG
rnacentral:lncRNA from 1 species